rnacentral:misc_RNA from 1 species
AAACAAAAACCUCAAGGCUUUAACGUCACAGAGGAACCAUCACAAGGCUUUGACCAACUGUUGUUCUUUAAACCAUACUGAAUACGUAUACUGCAACUAGUUUCAAAACAACUUCAUCACACAACGCGAAAGGAAUCCGCUAUCCUUUUCAAGUCGCCGUAAUGUCUCUUCCAUUGAAGACCAUUUGCGGUUACAUUGAAUAGGUAGAGACGAUUUCCUG